rnacentral:rRNA from 1 species
CAUGCAAGUCCAACGGUAACAGCGGAGCUUGCUCCGGCUGACGAGUGGCGCACGGGUGAGUAACGCGUGGGAACCUGCCCCAGGGUGGGGGACAACCGCUGGAAACGGCGGCUAAUACCGCAUACGCCCUCCGGGGGAAAGCUUUAGCGCCCUGGGAUGGUCCCGCGUCGGAUUAGCUUGUUGGUGAGGUAACGGCUCACCAAGGCGACGAUCCGUAGCUGAUCUGAGAGGAUGAUCAGCCACACUGGGACUGAGACACGGCCCAGACUCCUACGGGAGGCAGCAGUGGGGAAUAUUGGACAAUGGGCGCAAGCCUGAUCCAGCAAUGCCGCGUGUGUGAAGAAGGCCUUCGGGUUGUAAAGCACUUUCACCCGCGAAGAUGAUGACGGUAGCGGGAGAAGAAGCCCCGGCCAACUCCGUGCCAGCAGCCGCGGUAAUACGGAGGGGGCUAGCGUUGUUCGGAAUUACUGGGCGUAAAGGGCGUGUAGGCGGCCUUGUUAGUCAGGCGUGAAAGCCCCGGGCUCAACCUGGGAACUGCGCUUGAAACUGCGAGGCUUGAGUUCGGGAGAGGAGAGUGGAAUUCCCAGUGUAGAGGUGAAAUUCGUAGAUAUUGGGAAGAACACCAGUGGCGAAGGCGGCUCUCUGGACCGGUACUGACGCUG